UAGGGAAUCUUCCACAAUGGGCGAAAGCCUGAUGGAGCAACGCCGCGUGUGUGAUGAAGGGUUUCGGCUCGUAAACACUGUUGUAAGAGAAGAAUGACAUUGAGAGUAACUGUUCAAUGUGUGACGGUAUCUUACCAGAAAGGAACGGCUAAAUACGUGACAG
rnacentral:rRNA from 1 species